AGCUACAGCUGCUGCUACGGGCGCUCGUUCAAGAUACCGGAGGAUGUUGUUGUCAUAAUGCAAGCACAUCUGUUCACGGUGCUAGGCUACAUCACGUAGCAUGCCAGACGGACCCACCAAAGAUGCGCACACAUGGAACGCAGCUUUCUAUGAAAACACUGCGACCUCACUACAAAAGUAAAGGCUCACAGAAAACUGUGCUGCACUGAUGUCGGUGUUGGGACCUCAGCUGUAAGAGGCCUCGCUUGGAGGAGGGAGAGGACAACCCAAGUUGUUCAAGUAUGGACUUCGGAGAGCCACAGGAUGCUACCUAUGAUCCUGAUGACUCGAUCA